UACGAAGGGGGCUAGCGUUGCUCGGAAUUACUGGGCGUAAAGCGCACGUAGGCGGCUUCUUAAGUCGGUGGUGAAAUCCUGGAGCUCAACUCCAGAACUGCCUUCGAUACUGGGAAGCUCGAGUCCGGGAGAGGUGAGUGGAACUGCGAGUGUAGAGGUGAAAUUCGUAGAUAUUCGCAAGAACACCAGUGGCGAAGGCGGCUUUCUGGACGGUAACUGACGCUGAGACGCGAAAGCGUGGGGAGCAAACAGG
rnacentral:rRNA from 1 species